GGUUAGUGAAGCUUAGAGUGAAAUGGAUAUUGAUGUACCCAUUCCAUUUCAUUGAAUAGGAAUUUUCUCAAGUUCAAAAGGGAACCAAGAGUAAAGUUUGGAGGUAAGUAGCUAUGACCAUGCUUCUUACUCAAUAUUUUCUUCUAGUAAAUACUUUUUUUUAUUCAAAUGCUUCUUUGUGACAAAAAGUUAAAUGUAUAUAAUACAUAAGCCUUCUUGGUAGCCCAUGUUAAGCAUCCUAUGAAUUAUGAAUGUGUGUAUAUGUAUGAUGUAAAACAGGCACAUUCAAGGUUUAGAUCAUGAGAUUUAUCAUGCACAUGUUUUCGUAAAAGCUAAUGAUUAUCUUUACUAUAAAGUAUGACAUGAAAUGCAUAUUUAUGAAAGAAAUGCCUGUGCAUUGGACUAAGAAAGAUGAUGAAAAUGCUAUGAAUGAAAAGAAAGAAAAGAAAGAGGAAUGAGAGUUUUAAGCAUGAAAACACUUAAUGGCCAUCGACUGAAUAAUUAUGGUACCAAAGGAAAGGGGUAGAUUGCAAUGCCAGAUUGGUCCCAUUGGUAGUGCAUCCAAUGGCUCCAUCCUGACUGAGGGAUUUCCUAACCCGUGGCCAUAAGUGGAGAUCAGGUCCAAAAGACCGCUAACCCUAACACACAUGGUGUAAUAGUGUGUACUGGC